CUCUGUGCGACCCGGAGGCACUGAGCCUCCUUUUCUUCUCCUUAUCUGCAUCUGUCCACACCCAGGAAUGGGAAGGGUCCUCCCAGGAAUGGGAAGGGUCCCCGCAGCAAGACUGCCUGGUUGAAAGAACACAGAAUAUGUGGUCAAGCUUUCAGGACCUUCAUAGGCACUGGGAGACUCCUCUUCUAGCCUGGCUCAUGAGUAUUUGAUGGACUAAAUGACACUCCACAGGAGAAGGGAGGGCAAUUGGAUGCCUUUUUCUAUUCUGAUAGGCCUAAGAGGAAGGGAUUAAGGAUCCUCUGACCAAAAUAUCAUGUAUGUCAAAACGUCAUCAUAGGCUCUGCUUCCACUGGGACCCAUGUAAUGAAAUGAAAUUCUCCACCUGACCCUUUUGACUGCAGACUUGUAAGAUGAGAAGCUACUAAGGUUUUCUCUCCUAGGACAGAAGAUUGACAGUACAGGUUGCUCUAUUGUAUUAUGACUCUCUUGAUCUAGACACAUAGUGUUUCGAGUGUGUGUAUUAAGGCUUUUGAGACUAAGUGCUAUGCCUUGAUAAGAACCCAUGCAAAUAUGAGUGUUGGAAACUCCUUGAAGUUCUUUAUUGGAAACUCUUCUCAGUUACCUGUAAGGAAAGGAACUGACUCAGUGUGAAAGCCACCAACCUUUCAUCAGCCUUUCUCUGGAUGCUUCAUCUUCUGUAGCUUGGUGCUGGGAGCUACAGCCCUACAGGCAUCUCACUGCCUGAUGCUCAGUGAGGGAGGAGAAGGUGCAUAUACAAAGAAGGCACACAGUGAGAGAGAGAGAGAAAGAGAGAGAGAGAGGCAGAGCACAGGCAGUGGGAGA